GAUGAACGCUGGCGGCGUGCCUAAUACAUGCAAGUCGAGCGAACGGACGAGAAGCUUGCUUUUCUGAUGUUAGCGGCGGACGGGUGAGUAACACGUGGAUAACCUACCUAUAAGACUGGGAUAACUUCGGGAAACCGGAGCUAAUACCGGAUAAUAUUUUGAACCGCAUGGUUCAAAAGUGAAAGACGGUCUUGCUGUCACUUAUAGAUGGAUCCGCGCUGCAUUAGCUAGUUGGUAAGGUAACGGCUUACCAAGGCAACGAUGCAUAGCCGACCUGAGAGGGUGAUCGGCCACACUGGAACUGAGACACGGACCAGACUCCUACGGGAGGCAGCAGUAGGGAAUCUUCCGCAAUGGGCGAAAGCCUGACGGAGCAACGCCGCGUGAGUGAUGAAGGUCUUCGGAUCGUAAAACUCUGUUAUUAGGGAAGAACAUAUGUGUAAGUAACUGUGCACAUCUUGACGGUACCUAAUCAGAAAGCCACGGCUAACUACGUG
rnacentral:rRNA from 1 species